rnacentral:lncRNA from 1 species
AUGUUCGACUUUCUCCCCUCCAAGGAAGAUUCAGAGGUUCUAGGUAUUGCUAAUAGUAAAGAUAUUUUGCUGCAUCUAUUUUGAAAGGAAAGAUUUUAGCUUUGGGUUCAUUUGGAAUAUUACAUGAAUAUCAAGUUCAAGCUCAAUUGCGAGAACAUCAUCUGAAGGGGUGAGAUCAGAACUUGUGUAAACCAGAUUUGUUGUCAUGACCAUUAGUGGAACUUGGAUUUUAACUUUAGAUAACACAAUAAUUAUACGUGAUUAUUUAUAUAAUUUUGUUAGGUUGUAUUUAGGAUCAAUGUCACGUUUGUAAAGAAUUUCCCUAUCUACAGUUUUUAGUUUCUUUCUCACUCAAAAAACUAAUAGAUGCCGAAGUUGAGAUACUAUACUAAGCUUAGUUGUGUUACUGUAUUUUGACUUUAACCCUUUUCUUCCUCUAGGUUAUUAAUGAUGGCACGGGCUGCAUAUGUUGAAUUAAUUGUCGGUUGUCAUUUACUGCUUUAUUGUGCAAGUCUUAGGCUUUAACUCAUAAAUUUUCCCUAGGAUUGAAGGCUUUGUCAAGUUGAAUUCUAUUGUGUAUGUAUGUUUAUGUCAUUUUUCUGCUUUCUUGGUUUAAGUCUUAGACUUGCACUCUUUAAGUAUUCCUUAGAAAUAGAGGCUUUGUUGAGUUGAAUUCAUUGGAUCUGUUUGCUGCUUCUAUACUAUGUUGAACUUUAUUAGUAUGGUAUAUUGUCAAUAAUAAUUUGUCAUUUCUAGCAGUCAUGGUCACCUAUGAUAUUAGACAUUGCCCGGAAGGCUUUUCUCCAUAGUGUACGCCACUUUCUUAUUUUAAAUAUGUGAAGUAGAAAUUGUUUCCAUUGAAUAUGGAUUGUUAUGCUAUGAGGAUGGAUAAAUUUGUACCUUACCAAGCAGAUGUAAGGGGCUUUAUUGCAGCUUAUGCAAAAGCAGUAAAAAACAUAACCUAUUUCUUGUUGUCUAUGAAUUUAGUGGUGCUACAAAUGAAGUGGUGCUCUAUUUUGAAAAUACCAAUUCUCAAGCAGCAAACAGUAAAAGGUUUGUCUGUCUAUUGAUUGUCUUUAUUCCCCUAAAUGUCUACAUAUGCAUGUAGGAGAUCUAAUAAUUAUUCAAAAAUUGCAUCUUUGAGUUUUGUAGGUCUAGAUGCAGCAUUUAUUGGACCCAAUGAAAAUCAAUUUGCAGUUCUUGAUGAUGAUAAGAUUGGACUGGUUUUUAUAUAUUUUGCCUGA